CCAUUCCCGACACGGGGAGGUAGUGACGAAAAAUAACAAUACAGGACUCUAACGAGGCCCUGUAAUUGGAAUGAGUACAUUCUAAAACUCUUAACGAGUAUCCAUUGGAGGGCAAGUCUGGUGCCAGCAGCCGCGGUAAUUCCAGCUCCAACAGUGUAUGCUAAAGUUGUUGCGGUUGAAAAGCUCGUAGUUGGAUUUUGGGCGGGCGCUGCCGGUCCGUCGCAGGGCGUGUCACUGGCAGCGUUCGCCUCGCCUUCGGUUCUCCGUCGGUGCUCUUGACUGAGUGUCGGCGGUGGCCGAGAAGUUUACUUUGAAAAAAUUAGAGUGUUCAAAGCAGGCUGCUCGCCUGUAUAGUGUUGCAUGGAAUAAUGGAAUAGGACCUCGGUUCUAUUUUGUUGGUUUUCGGAGCGCGAGGUAAUGAUUAAGAGGGACAGACGGGGGCGUCCGUACUCUGCCGUUAGAGGUGAAAUUCUUGGAUCGGCGGAAGACGAACUACUGCGAAAGCAUUCGCCAAGAAUGUUUUCUUUAAUCAAGAGCGAAAGUCAGAGGUUCGAAGACGAUCAGAUACCGUCCUAGUUCUGACUAUAAACGAUGCCAACUAGCGAUCGGGAGGCGUUACCAUGACGACCUUCCCGGCAGCUUCCGGGAAACCAAAGUCUUUGGGUUCCGGGGGAAGUAUGGUUGCAAAGCUGAAACUUAAAGGAAUUGACGGAAGGGCACCACCAGGAGUGGAGCCUGCGGCUUAAUUUGACUCAACACGGGGAAACUCACCCGGCCCGGACACAGGUAGGAU
rnacentral:rRNA from 1 species